rnacentral:rRNA from 1 species
UAAGUAAGCGGAGGAGAAGAAACUAAAUAGGAUUCCUUCAGUAAUGGCGAAUGAACAGGGAUCGGCUCAGCAUGGAAAUUGGGGCCCCUGGCCCUGAAUUGUAGUCUCAAGAUGUACUGCCAACGGAGGCGCAGAUGUAAGCCUCUUGGAAAAGAGCAUCAGCGAGGGUGACAAUCCCGCUUGCCAUCUGCAGCCCCCGCUGCACGGUGUACCUUCUAAGAGUCACGUUCCUCGGGAUUGGAGCGCAAAGUGGGUGGUAAAUUUCAUCUACAGCUAAAUACUGGUUCGAGACCGAUAGCAAACAAGUACCAUGAGGGAAAGGUGAAAAGGACUUUGAAAAGAGAGUUAGAAGUGCCUGAACUUGCUGAAAGGGAAGCGAAUGGAACCAGUGUUGCUUGGCAAGAUUGCUGUGCACCACUGUGAGGGUCUGCUAUGCUAGCGCAAGUGGUGUGGUAGACUUUGAGCAGGACCUGCACGGUGUUUCUUGCCUUGUGUGUCAGCGUCAGUUCGCGCUUGGGGAAGACGUCAAGGACAUGGUAGCCUGCCCACGGGCAUGUGAACGUGCUUGCUCGAACUCAUGCGGGAACUGCACGGUGACGAAAUAGUUCCUUUCGACCCG